UACGAAGGGGCUAGCGUUGCUCGGAAUUACUGGGCGUAAAGCGCACGUAGGCGGCUUUCUAAGUCGGGGUGAAAUCCUGGAGCUCAACUCCAGAACUGCCUUCGAUACUGGAAGCUCGAGUCCGGGAGAGGUGAGUGGAACUGCGAGUGUAGAGGUGAAAUUCGUAGAUAUUCGCAAGAACACCAGUGGCGAAGGCGGCUCACUGGCCCGGUACUGACGCUGAGGUGCGA
rnacentral:rRNA from 1 species